AUUACAGGCCGUGAGCCACCGCUCCCGGCCCAUUUUGGUUGUUUUAAGCUGCCCAGUCUGUGGCACUUUGCUGCAGCCACCUUAGUGAACUAACAGGGAGAAAUCAAGUCUGCCUCUUGAUGGGAAAGGUAACAGGCAUGUACAGGGUGGUAGGAAUUGUAUCCUUUGUGGACUGUCUGACACAAGGCUGUGCAAGAGUGGACAGGACAACGGAGGAGGGGACUGCAUGUGGGGAGCAAAACCCAGCCUCUAGGUCUGACUCUGCCAAGAACAUGUUGGGAAGCUGUUUAACUCUCCCUCCUUUUCCCAGAGAACAAAAGGACAGACUUAGGUAUGGUCUGGCUCUAUCGCCCAGGCUGGAGUGCAGUGGUGGGAUCUCAGCUCACUGCAACCUCUGCCUCCUGGAGUGAAGCCAUCCUCCCACCUCAACCUCCCAAGUAGCUGGGACUACAGGCAUGUACCACCUCACCCAGCCAAUUUUUGUAUUUUUUUUGUAGAGACAGGGUUUCACUAUGUUGGUCAAGCUGGUCUUGAACUCAUGAGCUCAAGCUAUCUGCCCGCCUUGGCCUCCCAAAGUGUUGGAAUUACAGGCGUGAGCCACCGUGCCUGGCCCAUAUUUUCUUCUUUAAUUGUUUUCCUCAUCAUGACCUCUUUUCAUCUAGUCCUCACAUGAUGCCCAUAGUGAUCUUUCCAAAGCACAACUCGGAUCAUUUUGUUGUCCUUCCGAAAACUGUUUGAUGAUUCCCUAUUACCAUCAAGAUAGCCUAAACCCUUUCAUUUGCUUCUACAGCCUUUUGUUUUUGUUUUUGAGACAGAGUCUCACUCUGUUGCCCAGGCUGGAGUAUAGUGGCGUGAUUUUAGCUCACUGCAGCCUGGAACUCCUGGGCUCGAGUGAUCCUCCCACUUCAGCCUCCUGAGUUGCUGAGACUACAAGUGUGAGGCACUGUUCCUGGCUGGUUUGUUUUUUAAAUAACUUUUUUUGAGAUAUAAUUCACAUACCACAAAAUUCAUUCUUUUCCAAGUUCAAAUUUAAUGGUUUUUAGCAUAUUAACAGAGUAGUGCAACAAUCACCACAGUCAAUUUCAGAACAUUAUCAUCAUUCCAAAAAGAAACCCCACACCUGUUAGCAGUCAUUUCCCAUUCCCCUUUCCCCAGCCCCUGGCCACCAAUCUACUUCCUGUUUCUAUGGAUUUGUGUAUUCUGGAUACUUCAUAUCAAUGAAUCAUACAAUAUGUAGCCUUUUGUGACUCGCUUAUUUCAUGUAGCAGAAUGUUUUUAAGGUUC
rnacentral:lncRNA from 1 species